UCCCCCGCCCGCGAGCGCCGGGCCAGCAGGUGAUGAGCGCGGGAGGGAGGAGGCGGAGCGAGGGCCGCGGCCUAGGGCCACUUCCUGGGCCCCGGCAGGGCCCGAGCGCGGGAACUGAGGGGGCCGAGCCCGCGGCGACCCCACCCCCGGCGACCCCACCCCCGGCUCGGGCCCGCGCGCCCUCGACCACGCCGGGCGGAGGGAGGGUCUGGAGCGCGCGCGCCCUCGGCCACGCAGUGCGGGCGGGGGAGGGGGUGGGUAAUGAGGUGGGGCACGCGCCCCGGGCCACGUGGGGAAUCGAGCCCGAGCCCGAGCCACUGUCAGGCGGGGAAUGAAGGGCUAGGGCGCGCGCCCACGUGGGGUCAGCCUGAACUCGCGCGCCUGCCCGCCACCCCUCGACCUCGCGGGAAUCGCUGCGCAGUUUUCUGGUCUACACGCUCAUACCCGGUGGUUUCAAACUCUGGCUGUUACUGGGCGCCAGUGCGGAGCCUUCCAGCCAUUCGUGCAGUCAUUCAUUCGGCUCUCUUCAGCGCCUCUAGCGACUGAGCCGGGCCUGGGCGCAGCGCAAACGAGGCCGCUGAGCGACUGUGACCGUGACCGUGAGCUCGAUCGGAGACACUGACCGUCAACACGCAAAGGGACAGGUACCCCGGAAAUCUGGGAUGAGGAGUGCCGAGGUGCACUUCGUCCCGGUCGUACUUUCCAGAAGAGGGACCCGGGUUCCGUAAGCGGCAGCAAACCUGCUGAAGCACUGAGGGCCGGCUGGGUGCUUCCUCCCACUUUAACCUCCAUACAGCCUUGCCAGAGAGAAGUUAUGAUCCCCAUUUCUCCAGAAGGAAACAGAUUGAGUGGCCCAAAGAUCACCCAACAAGAAGGGCAGCGCUAGGGCUCUCAGAUCCCAGAGCCCUAUUUUCUGUAUUCUAUGCCCUUGUCGUGACUUGCACAAGCUACAUGAGCGAGUAACCCCUAAGUGGAAACAGCACAGAGGUCCUUCCAUGGAUGAUGGUUAAACAGACUGUGAUCCACCCAUACCAUGCAGUCCUACUCAGCAGUAAAGGAAUGAGCAAGUGAUACAUGGACAGACACCUCAGAUGAAUCUGCGGGGAAUUACAAGUGGAAAAACAGCCAAUCCCCAGAGGUUACAUACUCUGUGAUUGCAUUCAUACAACAUCCUUGAAGAGGCAAAGUUCUAGAAAUGGUGAGCUGCUGGGUGAUUGCCAACGGUGAGGGUCUGGCCAAGUGGGCCUGGGUGUGAUGUGACUAUAGACGGUCAACGGGGGACAUCCUUGUGGUGAUGGAAAUGUUCUAUAUCUUGAAUGUAUCCAUGUCAGUUUUCUGGUUACAGUAUUAUCCUCCGGUUUUGCAAGAUAUUACCAUUGGUGGGUGUCUCCUUCUCCCUCUCACCCUGCCCCUCCCCCCUUCCUGUGAGCUCUUUCUCUCUCUUUCAAAUAAAUAAA